UACGGAGGUGCGAGCGUUGUCCGGAAUCACUGGGCGUAAAGGGCGCGUAGGUGGCGCAGGAAGUCAACGGUGAAAGUUCGGGGCUCAACCCUGAAUCGGCCGUCGAUACUCCUGGGCUCGAGCACUGUAGAGGCAGAUGGAAUUCCGGGUGUAGCGGUGGAAUGCGUAGAGAUCGGAAGAACACCGGUGGCGAAGGCGGUCUGCUGGGCAGU
rnacentral:rRNA from 1 species